UAUUUUUAGCUCACCUGGCCCGAAGGGCCAAGUGAGCUUUUCUCAUCACUUGGCGUCCGGCGUCCGUCGUCGUCCGUCGUCGUCGUCCGUCGUCGUCCUGCGUUAACUUUUACAAAAAUCUUCUCCUCUGAAACUACUAGGCCAAAUUUAACCAAACUUGGCCACAAUCAUCAUUGGGGUAUCUAGUUUAAAAAUUGUGUCCGGUGACCCCGCCAACUAACCAAGAUGGCCGCCAUGGCUAUAAAUAGAA
rnacentral:lncRNA from 1 species